rnacentral:rRNA from 1 species
UACGUAGGUGGCAAGCGUUGUCCGGAUUUACUGGGCGUAAAGAGCGCGCAGGCGGUCGUUCAAGUCGCGUGUGAAAGCCCCCGGCUCAACUGGGGAGGGUCACGCGAUACUGAUCGACUCGAAGGCAGGAGAGGGUAGUGGAAUUCCCGGUGUAGUGGUGAAAUGCGUAGAUAUUGGGGAAGAACACCGGUGGCGAAGGCGGCCAACUGGACCACAACUGACGCUAGGCGCGAAAGCGUGGGGAGCAACAGG